rnacentral:rRNA from 1 species
AAAACAUCGCCUCUUGAAAAACAUGAGAGGUCCAGCCUGCCCAGUGACUCUGUUCAACGGCCGCGGUAUCCUAACCGUGCGAAGGUAGCGUAAUCACUUGUCCUUUAAAUCAGGACUAGUAUGAAUGGCACCACGAGGGUUAUACUGUCUCCUUUCUCUAAUCAGUGAAACUAAUCUCCCCGUGAAGAAGCGAGGAUAUUUAUAUAAGACGAGAAGACCCUAUGGAGCUUUAAACAAAACAACACUUGCUGCUUUUAUUCACCAGUUUCAGAAAAUUAACUCUUAUUUUAGCAUUAUGCUUGUUAGUUUUAGGUUGGGGUGACCGCGGAGCAAAAAAUAACCUCCACAUUGAAAGGGACUUCCCCUAAGCAAAAAGUCACAACUUUAUGCAUCAAUAAAUUGACAUUAAUUGACCCAAUAUUUUGAUCAACGAAACAAGUUACCCUAGGGAUAACAGCGCAAUCCACUUUGAGAGUCCAUAUCGACAAGUGGGUUUACGACCUCGAUGUUGGAUCAGGGUACCCCAGUGGUGCAGCCGCUACUAAAGGUUCGUUUGUUCAACGAUUAAAACCCUA